GGACACGUGGUAUCCUGUCUGAAUAUGGGGGGACCAUCCUCCAAGGCUAAAUACUCCUGACUGACCGAUAGUGAACCAGUACCGUGAGGGAAAGGCGAAAAGAACCCCGGCGAGGGGAGUGAAAAAGAACCUGAAACCGUGUACGUACAAGCAGUGGGAGCACGCUUAGGCGUGUGACUGCGUACCUUUUGUAUAAUGGGUCAGCGACUUAUAUUCUGUAGCAAGGUUAACCGAAUAGGGGAGCCGAAGGGAAACCGAGUCUUAACUGGGCGUUAAGUUGCAGGGUAUAGACCCGAAACCCGGUGAUCUAGCCAUGGGCAGGUUGAAGGUUGGGUAACACUAACUGGAGGACCGAACCGACUAAUGUUGAAAAAUUAGCGGAUGACUUGUGGCUGGGGGUGAAAGGCCAAUCAAACCGGGAGAUAGCUGGUUCUCCCCGAAAGCUAUUUAGGUAGCGCCUCGUGAAUUCAUCUCCGGGGGUAG
rnacentral:rRNA from 1 species